rnacentral:rRNA from 1 species
ACGGGUGAGGAAUACGUCGGAAUCUGCCUAUUUGUGGGGGAUAACGUAGGGAAACUUACGCUAAUACCGCAUACGACCUACGGGUGAAAGUGGGGGACCGCAAGGCCUCACGCAGAUAGAUGAGCCGACGUCGGAUUAGCUAGUUGGCGGGGUAAAGGCCCACCAAGGCGACGAUCCGUAGCUGGUCUGAGAGGAUGAUCAGCCACACUGGAACUGAGACACGGUCCAGACUCCUACGGGAGGCAGCAGUGGGGAAUAUUGGACAAUGGGCGCAAGCCUGAUCCAGCCAUGCCGCGUGUGUGAAGAAGGCCUUCGGGUUGUAAAGCACUUUUGUCCGGAAAGAAAAGCUUAGGGUUAAUAACCCUGAGUCAUGACGGUACCGGAAGAAUAAGCACCGGCUAACUUCGUGCCAGCAGCCGCGGUAAUACGAAGGGUGCAAGCGUUACUCGGAAUUACUGGGCGUAAAGCGUGCGUAGGUGGUUUGUUAAGUCUGAUGUGAAAGCCCUGGGCUCAACCUGGGAAUGGCAUUGGAAACUGGCUUACUAGAGUGCGGUAGAGGGUAGCGGAAUUCCCGGUGUAGC